GAUGAACGCUGGCGGCGUGCCUAAUACAUGCAAGUCGAGCGAACGGACGAGAAGCUUGCUUCUCUGAUGUUAGCGGCGGACGGGUGAGUAACACGUGGAUAACCUACCUAUAAGACUGGGAUAACUUCGGGAAACCGGAGCUAAUGCCGGAUAAUAUUUUGAACCGCAUGGUUCAAAAGUGAAAGACGGUCUUGCUGUCACUUAUAGAUAUAUCCCCGCUGCAUUAGCUAGUUGGUAAGGUAAGGGCUUACCAAGGCAACGAUGCAUAGCCGACCUGAGAGGGUGAUCGGCCACACUGGAACUGAGACACGGUCCAGACUCCUACGGGAGGCAGCAGUAGGGAAUCUUCCGCAAUGGGCGAAAGCCUGACGGAGCAACGCCGCGUGAGUGAUGAGGGUCUUCGGAUCGUAAAACUCUGUUAUUAGGGAGGAACAUAUGUGUAAGUAACUGUGCACAUCUUGACGGUACCUAAUCAGAAAGCCACGGCUAACUACGUG
rnacentral:rRNA from 1 species